rnacentral:ncRNA from 1 species
UGGAGUUUCCAAUUUCUCUAAAGAAUUGGUGGUGCGGAUGGGGUUUUCAACUCCCGCCGAGUUUCCAAUUUUCUCGUAAUCAAAAUUGGUGGCGAGCCUAAGG